rnacentral:misc_RNA from 1 species
GAAAUGCGAUAAGUAGUGUGAAUUGCAGAAUUCAGUGAAUCAUCGAAUCUUUGAACGCACAUUGCGCCCCUUGGUAUUCCAUGGGGCAUGCCUGUUCGAGCGUCAUUUGUACCCUCAAGCUCUGCUUGGUGUUGGGUGUUUGUCCCCGUCUCCGCGCGUGGACUCGCCCCAAAGUGAUUGGCAGCCGGCGUACUGGUCCCGGAGCGCAGCACAUGUCGCGCAAACGAGUGCCUUGGUACGGCGGCGUCCAUAAGCCCCUCUCUCACGCUCUUGACCUCGGAUCAGGUAGGGAUACUCGCUGAACUUAAGC